rnacentral:rRNA from 1 species
UGGGGAAUAUUGCACAAUGGAGGGAACUCUGAUGCAGCGACGCCGCGUGAACGAAGAAGGCUUUCGAGUCGUAAAGUUCUUUUAUAUGGGAAGAUAAUGACGGUACCAUAAGAAAAAGCCCCGGCUAACUACGUGCCAGCAGCCGCGGUAAUACGUAGGGGGCUAGCGUUUUCCGGAAUCACUGGGCGUAAAGGGUUCGCAGGCGGAAAUGCAAGUCAGGUGUAAAAGGCAGUAGCUUAACUACUGUAAGCAUUUGAAACUGCAUAUCUUGAGAAGAGUGGAGGUAAGUGGAAUUUUUAGUGUGGCGGUGAAAUGCGUAGAUAUUAAAAAGAAUACCGGUGGCGAAGGCGACUUACUGGGCUCAUUCUGACGCUGAGGAACGAAAGCGUGGGUAGCAAACAGG